rnacentral:rRNA from 1 species
GACGAACGCUGGCGGCGUGCUUGACACAUGCAAGUCGAACGGAAAGGCCUGCUUUCCCUUGUGGAUUGCGGGUACUCGAGUGGCGAACGGGUGAGUAACACGUGAGUGAUCUGCCCCCAACUUGGGUAUAAGCCUGGGAAACUGGGUCUAAUUCCCGAUAGGACUGCAGGGUGGUGCCUGUGGUGGAAAACGAUUUUCUAGUGGUUGGGGAUGAGCUCGCGGCCCAUCAGCUUGUUGGUGGGGUAAUGGCCUACCAAGGCGGCGACGGGUAGCCGGCCUGAGAGGGUGGACGGCCACAUUGGGACUGGGAUACGGCCCAGACUCCUACGGGAGGCAGCAGUGGGGAAUAUUGCACCAUGGGCGGAAGCCUGAUGCAGCGACGCCGCGUGGGGGAUGACGGCCUUCGGGUUGUAAACUCCUUUCGACCGCGAGGAAGCCACCUGGUUGGAAGGGUGGUGACGGUAGUGGUAGAAGAAGCACCGGCUAACUACGUG